rnacentral:rRNA from 1 species
CUCGUAGGCGGUUUGUCGCGUCGGGAGUGAAAACUCAGGGCUCAACCCUGAGCGUGCUUCCGAUACGGGCAGACUAGAGGUAUGCAGGGGAGAACGGAAUUCCUGGUGUAGCGGUGGAAUGCGCAGAUAUCAGGAGGAACACCGGUGGCGAAGGCGGUUCUCUGGGCAUGACCUGACGCUGAGGAGCGAAAGCAUGGGGAGCGAACA